rnacentral:lncRNA from 1 species
CAACAUCCUACGGACCAGAAGCACAGCUCCGGCUUGGGAACCGGCUUGGGAGCUGGACUGGCAGCCGGCGCUGCUGCUCUCGCAGGCUCGUCGCUCCUCAAGCACGGGAUGGGUCACAAGUCGGGCUUCGUGCCAGCUGUGGCGGGAGCCGCCCUAGGUUCAGGGCCUUCAUCACAAGUCUCACGGAUACAAGCCCAAGUCCAGCAUGCCGCUUCCCAUUGGUGCUGGCACCCUCGGAACGGGACUGGCUGUCGGUGCUACGGCGCUCGCUGGUGCAGCUUUGGUAAAGAAGCUCAAGCCCAAGAAGAUGUUCAAGCACAAAUACAAGCACGGCUUUAAAGGGUGGAGCAGCAGCAGCAGCAGUUCAAGCUCAAGCGAAGAAGAAUGAACAACAUCCUCUGGACAUUUUUCAAGUGGCAGAAACGAGCGUCGUCAGCUGGGUUCUCUUACUUCCGCGAUGUUCUCUACGUGUACACCUCUGCGCCAUGUUUUUAAUGUCACAUGGCUUAAAGACCUUCUGUGAUGAAUGUUGUAAUUCCAGUUGCUCCACUGUACUUGAAAAGCGUGUUCUCAGAUGUUAAUUGGCCAAAGCUCCGAUUCCAACAGCCCACUCGCAAGGCGCAUUCACUCAUGAGAUGACAGGCACCAUUAACGCAAUGUUCGGUAGUCAGAUGUUCACUCGUGGUACUUUACCACAAUGUUAUCACAAUUGAUGUGACAUUAUCAUGAUGGCAUCGUGUUGACAUGUCAUGUAAAUCGUGCUGUUCUGAGAUGGCAGAAAUUUUCGAAUGGAGAAACUUAGGUAUGGCAGGUGCAAUAUUUGUGGCUGA